rnacentral:rRNA from 1 species
AGCGAACGCUGGCGGCAGGCUUAACACAUGCAAGUCGAGCGGGCACUUUCGGGUGUCCGCGGCGGACGGGUGAGUAACGCGUGGGAACGUGCCCUCUGGUUCGGAAUAACUCAGGGAAACUUGAGCUAAUACCGGAUACGCCCUUUUGGGGAAAGGCUUGCUGCCGGAGGAUCGGCCCGCGUCUGAUUAGCUAGUUGGUGAGGUAACGGCUCACCAAGGCGACGAUCAGUAGCUGGUCUGAGAGGAUGAUCAGCCACACUGGGACUGAGACACGGCCCAGACUCCUACGGGAGGAAGCAGUGGGGAAUAUUGGACAAUGGGCGCAAGCCUGAUCCAGCCAUGCCGCGUGAGUGAUGAAGGCCUUAGGGUUGUAAAGCUCUUUUAUCCGGGACGAUAAUGACGGUACCGGAGGAAUAAGCCCCGGCUAACUUCGUG